rnacentral:misc_RNA from 1 species
AGCCAAUCACAAAAAGGACGUCUCAGUUCGGACCCUUAGGAGCAACUCGCCUGCAUGAAGUUGGAAUCGCUAGUAAUCGCGCAUCAGCAAUGGCGCGGUGAAUACCCUCCAGGACCUUGUACACACCGCCCGUCAAGCCAUGGGAGUUGGGAGGACCUGAAGACAGUUGCUGCGAGGCGCUGUUUAGGGUUAAACCAAUGACUGGGGCUAAGUCGUAACAAGGUAGCCGUACCGGAAGGUGCGGCUGGAACACCUCCUUUCUGGAGCUAGUGAAGAGCACG